GUUUCCCCUCCCACAGGGUGCGGUGUACUUUUAUAAAGAGGAAAACAAUGACUCUGCACUUUAUUCUGUUCAUUUCCUGACUGAAGGCUCACAUCUCUCCGUCGAUUUACAGCCGUGAAAACAGCUGUCAACCACCAUGGCUUCAGUGGAGGUCGAAUACUGUAGCGGAUGAGGUUACUCAUACCGUUACGGGCAACUAGCCGAAGCAAUUCGGCAGGUUCCUGGAGUGAAGGAGGUGACCGGGAGGGUCGGGAGGCAGAACAGCUUUGAGAUUUCUGUGAACGGCCAGCUGAUCUACUCCAAGCUCAAGACGGGAAAAAUCCCUCCUCCGGAUGAGGUGGUGAAAUUGAUCAAGAAGUUCUUGAAAAAAUGAGGACACCGUUAAAAGCUGGAGGUUAAAGCACCGGCUGUAUUCACACUGCAAGAUCAAUGGUUUGCUUUUUGAAUGGCUACAUUCUCUCACAACUGCUUAUUUGAACACAGAAAAACAAUUCUAAAAAUAUAAUUGGGAAAAAUUCAAACAAAGACAAAAUAAUUUUACCGUCAGCCAUCAGACCAUUUAUCUUCACUGUGAUUACAGACAAGCGACGAUAAGAGCAACUCUGAAGAUCUGGGCGCUGAUCUUUACUUCUUUUUAUGAAUGAACACAUGAAAAAGAAUGCCGUGUGUUCACGAUGCAAGUCAAGAAGUUGUUCAGCUGCCUGGAGCCUGAGGAACUGCUCUCUUCAAAAACAUCACAUGUAUACUUACUCAGGAAUGGAAAUAAAAUGAAAAUGUUUAUCAAACCACACAUGUUACAAAUAUAAAGGAAUAUUUUGACAUUUCUGGAAAUUUGCUAAUUUGCUUCCUUGCCAAGGGUUAGCCAAAUGAGACGACUGCUACCACUUUUAUGUUUGAAUGUUAAUAUGAAGCUACGGCUAACGUUUGGUUAGCUUAUCUUAGCCUUAUGUCCCGAACCAAGGGGAUAUAUCUAGCCUGGUUCCUGUCAAUCAAAGCUGCCUACCAGCACUUCUGAAGCUCACUAAUGAACAUCUGUUUUGUUUGAUCCAUGCAAAAACCAGAGUGUACAAACAUCAAUUUGCUGUUUGAUGGGGGGGUUAUAUGCCGGACUGUUUCAUUGCCUGGCCCUCUAGCAGAGAGUUACGGGUCCAGGCAAUGAAACAGUCCGGCACACAACCUCGUGAAAUAGUGAAUUGUAAUUUCUACACUUUUGGUUUUUGUGUGGAUCAAACAAGGCACAGUAAGAUGUUUAGUUUUGUGAACUUUAGAGGUUCUGGUAGGCAGGUUUGUUAAGUCUGAACGGUCUGAACAGAGCCAGUCUAGAUGUUUCCCCCUGUUUCCUGUCGUUAUGCUACGCUAAGCGAACCAGCUGCUAGUUGUAGCCAUAUUGUUACCAUUCAGAUAAAAGAGUGGUCAUAAUCUUCUCAUUUAACUCUCUGCAAGAAUUUAUAAAUGCCAAACUAUUCUACCAAUGUUUGGUUGGUCAGACAUUCAAUAGUUUUUUUGUUGAUUAGCACUAAAUCUGAAAUCAUGAUGAAUACAAACUCUUCUCUUCAGAUUGAAUUUGCAAAAUAUGCCCUACUUUGAAAAAAAAUGAAUCUGCUAUUUCUUGUUACUGUAGCAAUUGUAUUAACGUAGAAAAAAUGACUUGACUCGAACAUAUAUUUGAACUUUUGAAAACAACUUAAAGUAUUGUUAUGCUUUUGUAAUUUAAUUUGUAAUAAAUUCUAAUUCUCUGAAAUGCAAUAAAGCAUCACUGAACAACCAA